GACGAACGCUGGCGGCGUGCUUAACACAUGCAAGUCGAACGGAAAGGCCCCUUUCGGGGUACUCGCGUGGCGCACGCGGGUGUAACACGCGUGUAACCUGGCCUUGACUUCGGGAUAAGUUCAGCGAAAGGGGGCUAAUACCGGAAAGGAAUCCUUGCUGCAUGGUGGGGGUUGGAAAGCCUCGGCGGUUUUGGAUGGGCUCGCGGCUUAUCAGCUUGUUGGUGGGGUAGUGGCUUACCAAGGCGUCGACGGGUAGCCGGCCUGAGAGGGCGACCGGCCACAUUGGGACUGAGGUGCGGCCCAGACUCCGACGGGAGGCAGCAGGGGGGAAUAUUGCACAAGGGGCGGAAGGCUGAUGCAGCAACGCCGCGGGCGGGAUGGCGGCCUUCGGGUUGUAAACCGCUUUCAGCAGGGGCGAAGCUUGUGGUGACGGUACCUGCAGAAGAAGCACCGGCUAACUACGUG
rnacentral:rRNA from 1 species